rnacentral:rRNA from 1 species
UCCUACGGGAGGCAGCAGUGAGGAAUUUUCCGCAAUGGGCGAAAGCCUGACGGAGCGACGCCGCGUGAAGGAUGAAGGAUUUCGGUCUGUAAACUUCUUUUAUGUGGGAAGAUUAUGACUGUACCACAUGAAUAAGCACCGGCUAACUACGUGCCAGCAGCCGCGGUAAUACGUAGGGUGCAAGCGUUAUCCGGAAUUACUGGGCGUAAAGAGUUCGUAGGCGGAUUUUUAAGUCGGAUGUUAAAUAUACAGGCUCAACUUGUAUGCUGCAUCCGAUACUGGGAGUCUUGAGAGUGGAAGAGGUAAGCGGAAUUUCCGGUGGAGCGGUUAAAUGCGUAGAUAUCGGAAAGAACACCAAUGGCGAAGGCAGCUUACUGGGCCAUUUCUGACGCUGAGGAACGAAAGCGUGGGGAGCGAUCGGGAUUAGAUACCCCGGUAGC